AGAGUUUGAUCCUGGCUCAGGAUGAACGCUAGCUACAGGCUUAACACAUGCAAGUCGAGGGGCAGCAUGGUCUUAGCUUGCUAAGGCCGAUGGCGACCGGCGCACGGGUGAGUAACACGUAUCCAACCUGCCGUCUACUCUUGGACAGCCUUCUGAAAGGAAGAUUAAUACAAGAUGGCAUCAUGAGUCCGCAUGUUCACAUGAUUAAAGGUAUUCCGGUAGACGAUGGGGAUGCGUUCCAUUAGAUAGUAGGCGGGGUAACGGCCCACCUAGUCUUCGAUGGAUAGGGGUUCUGAGAGGAAGGUCCCCCACAUUGGAACUGAGACACGGUCCAAACUCCUACGGGAGGCAGCAGUGAGGAAUAUUGGUCAAUGGGCGAGAGCCUGAACCAGCCAAGUAGCGUGAAGGAUGACUGCCCUAUGGGUUGUAAACUUCUUUUAUAAAGGAAUAAAGUCGGGUAUGGAUACCCGUUUGCAUGUACUUUAUGAAUAAGGAUCGGCUAACUCCGUGCCAGCAGCCGCGGUAAUACGGAGGAUCCGAGCGUUAUCCGGAUUUAUUGGGUUUAAAGGGAGCGUAGAUGGAUGUUUAAGUCAGUUGUGAAAGUUUGCGGCUCAACCGUAAAAUUGCAGUUGAUACUGGAUAUCUUGAGUGCAGUUGAGGCAGGCGGAAUUCGUGGUGUAGCGGUGAAAUGCUUAGAUAUCACGAAGAACUCCGAUUGCGAAGGCAGCCUGCUAAGCUGCAACUGACAUUGAGGCUCGAAAGUGUGGGUAUCAAACAGGAUUAGAUACCCUGGUAGUCCACACGGUAAACGAUGAAUACUCGCUGUUUGCGAUAUACUGCAAGCGGCCAAGCGAAAGCGUUAAGUAUUCCACCUGGGGAGUACGCCGGCAACGGUGAAACUCAAAGGAAUUGACGGGGGCCCGCACAAGCGGAGGAACAUGUGGUUUAAUUCGAUGAUACGCGAGGAACCUUACCCGGGCUUAAAUUGCAGAUGAAUUACGGUGAAAGCCGUAAGCCGCAAGGCAUCUGUGAAGGUGCUGCAUGGUUGUCGUCAGCUCGUGCCGUGAGGUGUCGGCUUAAGUGCCAUAACGAGCGCAACCCUUGUUGUCAGUUACUAACAGGUUCCGCUGAGGACUCUGACAAGACUGCCAUCGUAAGAUGUGAGGAAGGUGGGGAUGACGUCAAAUCAGCACGGCCCUUACGUCCGGGGCUACACACGUGUUACAAUGGGGGGUACAGAGGGCCGCUACCACGCGAGUGGAUGCCAAUCCCAAAAACCUCUCUCAGUUCGGACUGGAGUCUGCAACCCGACUCCACGAAGCUGGAUUCGCUAGUAAUCGCGCAUCAGCCACGGCGCGGUGAAUACGUUCCCGGGCCUUGUACACACCGCCCGUCAAGCCAUGGGAGCCGGGGGUACCUGAAGUACGUAACCGCAAGGAUCGUCCUAGGGUAAAACUGGUGACUGGGGCUAAGUCGUAACAAGGUAGCCGUACCGGAAGGUGCGGCUG
rnacentral:rRNA from 1 species